rnacentral:rRNA from 1 species
CCUACGGGAGGCAGCAGUGGGGAAUCUUGCGCAAUGGGCGAAAGCCUGACGCAGCAACGCCGCGUGCGGGAAGAAGGCUCUCGGGUUGUAAACCGCUUUCAGCAGGAACGAAAAUGACGGUACUUGCAGAAGAAGGUGCGGCCAACUACGUGCCAGCAGCCGCGGUGACACGUAGGCACCAAGCGUUGUCCGGAUUUAUUGGGCGUAAAGAGCUCGUAGGCGGUUCGGUAAGUCGGGUGUGAAAACUUUGGGCUUAACCCAAAGCCUGCAUCCGAUACUGCUGUGACUAGAGUUCGGUAGGGGAGCGGGGAAUUCCUAGUGUAGCGGUGAAAUGCGCAGAUAUUAGGAGGAACACCGGUGGCGAAGGCGCCGCUCUGGGCCGAUACUGACGCUGAGGAGCGAAAGCGUGGGUAGCAAACAGGAUUAGAUACCCUGGUAGUCCACGCCGUAAACGUUGGGCACUAGGUGUGGGUUUCAACCAACGAAAUCCGCGCCGUCGCUAACGCAUUAAGUGCCCCGCCUGGGGAGUACGGCCGCAAGGUUAAAACUCAAAGGAAUUGACGG